rnacentral:tRNA from 1 species
GGGGAUGUGGCUCAGUGGUAGAGCACUUGCCUCGCAUGCGUGAGGCACUGGGUUCGAUCCUCUGCACCA